UCCGGCGUGGUGGCAUCAUCAGCAUCAUCAGGGUCCUUUUCUAAAAAUAGACAACAUAAGAAAUCUGAAUCAGCUCUGUAAUUCAACAUUGACCCAGGACAUUUCUUUGUGUGCAGGUAUAGUUAGAUAAAAUGACGCCCAGAGCACCACUCUGAACGUUUACGCUUCUCUCUGACUGGUUGCAUCAUCUCGGCACAUGUAACCCUUGUCUACUGAAGUUCAGUUGGGAGCUUGACGUGGAGAUCAGGCUGAGCCCAGCCCUGCAGCCAUGCCGCUGCCAGAUUCACCAAAUUAUAUGUAAAGAGGUUCCUGGACAAUUUAAUCCCGCUGGGAGACAUGGCUUUAUACCACAGCAAUGGUCUGGUGGAGAGACCAACAGAGAGCACUGAUGUCGGAUAAAGACUUUCUGCAAUAAGCGUCUGUGUUUGCAGCACAAUGUCUUGUGUGAGGUUCAUUCUCUCAGUUUCAGCACUGCGGAUAAAAACAGUAAGUAGCCUGUUAUCUCUGGGCUGUAAAAAAAACCCCCAGUUUCAUUCAUGUUUGAUGAUAUGUAUUUUAUUGUAUUGUUGUACAACUGACACAAUUAAGCCCACUAAUGGAUCUCAAAUUCUACUUGUCCAUAUGUCCAGGUUCCUCCAUCUCUUUUCAACAUCACAAUAAGAAACAGAGAUGAAGCACUUACAAAUAUUUAAAGAAAGCAAGAAGGAGGUUUUAAAUGUAGCUGUAAGAGGGAAGGUUACAUUUUUGUUUUUCUCUUCUAUAAAUCUGUA